AGAGAGAGAGAGAGAGAGAGAGAGAGAGAGAGAGAGAGAGAGAGAGAGACUGGUCCUUGGCGUUGGCUGUCACAUCCACAAACCCUCACUUCCUUUCUCCAUCGACUGCACUUGAGUGACAUACAGCGCAGCUCCGCGCGAGAACAGCGCCCAGAGAGCCUUUCUGACAGAUGCGACCCGCCUGGCUGGAAAGUUUCCUCUAACCACUAACACCCACUUCCCAUUCCCGCAAGCUGUCGGGCUGGCCGGGUCCUCUCUCCGUCAGGGAAGGGCCAGGCUGCCUGAUGGCAGAACCAGUCCCGCGGCUAGACUCCUCCAACCCCAGCGGAUAGGCUGUCCAAGGAAGGUACUCCGGCGUCUCCAGAAAGCCAGCAAGAUUCCCUUCUCGCUGCAGGGACCUCGGCACCGGAGGUUCCUCCUAAUCAAUAUAUCAUCAGAGGGAGAGAGUGAGCGUCCAUGGAAUCCUCAGCUGUCCCAGGGAACCUGAAUGUCAGGAUGCCUUCUGACAAAGCUAAAACUUAGAUGCGAUUCUUCCCUCUGUCUGUUAUAUAUCUGCAUUUUCUUAGCAGUGCACAUUCAUUUUAAACAAUACGGCCUAGCUUGAUGGCCCAGUUGACAAAGUGCCUACUGUGUAAGUGAGAGAAGCUUCAUUCAGAUCCCGAGGACUCACAUACAGUGCCGGACACGGCUGGGCACUCUGUAACUUCAGCCUUGGGGGGAUAAAUGAAGACAGACAACUGGAUCACUGACGAUCAUUGGCCGGCCAGCCUCAUUGAAUCAAUAAGCUUCCGGUUCAUCGUGAGACCUUGUCUCAAAUAAUAAAGAAAAGCCUACACGUGUGGAAAGCCCAGCAUUUGUUCUUUCACUUUAAAUAGAUGCGGAACCAAAAAGUUGCCAUGCCUGCCCCCACGAAACAGUAGCUGCACAUCACAGGGCUGCAAGAGCGGCCAGCACAGGAGGAAGGCAGGAGCCAGAACUGACAGAGAAGGACGCAGAGGCUGGGAAGCUGGGAGAACUUGGCCCAGCAGACUGAUGGAGAAUUGAGGACAGCAGAUUGCAGCAGGGAGGCCGGGAGGAGGCCGGUCCUGUAGUGUCGGCGUCCAGGACACUUGGUACUUAGGGAGAGCAGGAACUCAAAAGAGGGAUUCCCCAUCCUACUUCCCUAAAGCAUCUCAAGCUGGCCAUCUGUAUCAGAGGGAAGAAGACACUAGUGAACUUGACCUUUGUGGAACUGGAUCCCAGGGUACCCCGGUGAGGAUGCCUGGACUGCUUCUCUGGCUGCCAUGUCCUCUUAGAUCUCACUGACACCAUCCGUGUCCUGAGUUUCCUUCACAGGGGAACAGUUUGCUCAGUUCCUCGGACAGACAUGGUGAUGGUUAGCUUUAACUGUCAACAGAACACACUCUAGAGUCGCUGGGAAGAGAAUCUCCGUGAAGGACUGUCUGCAUCAGUAAUACUGGAAGACAGACAUACUUAUCAGAUGUCCUCUUAGGGAGUCCACAGUAUUUCAAGAAAUAAUUUGACCAGCUACAGGGAACACUGAGCGUGGUGACCUCAUCAUUUUCCUCAGCCAGCCCCGACCUCCUGAGAGGCCAUCAUGGAACGAUGAAGACAUGAAGACAAAAACUCUGACAUUCUUUCAUCAAGUGUUACAGGCCACUAUGUAUCACCUAGAAUGACGCCAUGUUUUGGAGAUGAAGAAAUGGAGAUUCAGAGAAGCUAAGCAACACACUUGCCUGUUGUCUCAGAACUAGUGACUCCAUGGGCUAAUGGCAAGCUCCUCAUCACAAUAUUGCUGAACAGUGUGAAAGGAGAAGGCAUCCACUAGAAUUCUGUAGCUCUUGAUUAUUUGGAGCAAAGAUCUAAGUUUUGUGUUGUGACAGUGGGUUUCAGAGUCUCAUAUAGCCCAAGUGAGCUAGUAGCUCAUAGGUCAGGAUGACCUUGAACUCCUGAUUCUCCCACUGAGAUGAUAGGCCUGUGUGCCAACAUCCCAUUUUAGGAGCUGCUGGAUAUUCAAACCCAGGUCCUCUGGUGUGCUAGGGCGGCGUUCUACCCUGAUAGCUCUAGCCUGUGGGAAAAGCAUUCCUUUUAAAGCCAGGUCACUUUCAAAUUUCUACCCAUUAGAGAGAUUUCUGAAGGUAGAAUCUGAGAUCAAAGAUGAUAAAUAUUUUUUUCAAUAUUCAUGUUACAUUUUGCCAAAGCCUCUUUUUAAAAAUCUUCGCCACUCUGGUAGGUGGGGACAUGCACUCUGGAUACUUACAGUAUGUGCUUUCUUUAGCUAUGAGGUCGAGUAUGAUCUGUGUUCAUUGGGUGUUUGCCUUUGUGCUCAUGUCCAUUGCCUGUGUUUGUAUUGCCCCUUUUCUUUUUUUUUUUUUUUUUUUGGUUUUUCGAGACAGGGUUUCUCUGUGUAGCUUUGCGCCUUUCCUGGGACUCACUUUGGAGACCAGGCUGGCCUCGAACUCACAGAAAUCUGCCUGGCUCUGCCUCCCGAGUGCUGGGAUUAAAGGCGUGCGCCACCACCGCCCGGCUGCCCCUUUUCUUAAUAUUUUGUAAGGUUUUCUUGUAAAAUAAGGACAGUGGCCCUUCCUUGCAGUGUCGAAAUCUUUCUGUCAGCAUGUGACUUCAGUUACCAUUGUUUAAUGUCGCUGGGGACCAUAAAUCCCUUUCUUUCUCUUCAUUUAUUCGACUGAUGUGGUACUUAGAAAGUAUCCAAAGUUGGGGUUUUCUCCUGAUUUUAAAAAGCUUUUGUUUGCUUGUAUGCCAAUCCAUCCGUAAUGCAUUUGACUAUUUCAGAGGUGGCUAUAAUUUUGACCUUUUACAAAUAACCAUUUCCCCUGCAUCACUUUUUGAAUAAAUCAUGUCUCUUCCCUCGUGGGUUCCCGUAUUUAGUGCUUCAAUGUCCGCAGUUGUCUGGGUUAAUUCUUGAGUUCUCUCUGUGUACUAAUGCUAUGCCUGCAGCAUUUCCAGCCGCUCUUCAAUCUCCCUUCCUACCAAAGCUCCUUCCUCCCCACCCCCUCUCCAAACCUCUCUUUGCUGUGCUGCCUUCUGCAUUUUUCCAGAUGAAGUUUGGCAUUCCCGUGCCACGUUCCUUUAAGAGAAGGAAAAUCCACAGUUAUUUUGAAGGAAAUUGGUUGGGUCUCUUAGCUGCGGCCUCCCUCACAGGGGAUCUUUCUGCCUGUACCCUCUUUGCCUGGGACUCCCUCUGUCACCUUGUGACUCCAGCUGCUGGCUUGAAUUGCCUUGCUCUCUCCUGGCUGGGCUGCGCUCCCCCUUCCGGGCUCAGCUCCAUUUACACCGGCGUCUGUGGGAGCAAAGGCAGCAGUUUCUGCUCAUCCUUUGCCAAGCAGCUGGACAUCCACCAGAGGCACUAAAGAAAAGAUAUUGUGGGACUGGGGACCAAGUGGACAUCCACCAGAGGCACUAAAGAAAAGAUGUUGUGGGACUGGGGACCAAGUGCUUGCCAUGAAAGCAUAUGGGCCUGAGUUGAUUCUAGAAUCCAUGUAAGAAGUACACGGAUCUGUAAUCCCAGCACUGGUGGGGCGGAGGCAGGGGGAUCCCUGGGUCUCCCUGGCAGCCAGCCUAGCCCAGUUGGUGAACUCCAGGUUUCUCCCAGUGAGAGACCCUGUCUUUUAUAAACAAGGCAGCGCCAAAUGAUGGUUCACAGGGAAAGGUGCCUGCUACCCAGCCUGAUGACUUGAGUUUUAUCCCUGAGACCCACCUGACAGAAGAGAAUCAAUUGCCACAAGCUGCUCUUCACGUGUGCAUGCUGGUCCUGUAUACCCACCCUCUCUCUCACACACGCACAUGCACACAUACACACACAAUAAAUAAAUUUUAAAAAUGAGGUAGAUGACUUGAGGAAUAACAUCCAACGUUGACCUCUAGCACACUCAUGCAUGCACACACACUAAAAAGAAAAUCUCUGCAAUGAGCCAGGUGGAGGUGGGCAGGGGCUGAGUUUCAUCCUGAUCUUUAGACAGCUUUGGUCUUAGAAGUUCAGCUGGGCUUCCCAACCUCAGAACACCCACCUGGCGACCCAUCUGAAAUCUCAUCGUGUCUAUCAACUUUCUGCUUGAUGCUAACGUUCUGAAGACCUCCCCUAUCCCAGUCCAUAGUGAGGGGACAUGAGAUGGUUAUGAAACUGAACUUCAGUUUUGACAGCAGAGCUUGAAUAAACAUUACCAUGCUUUGUUUCUCCAGAUCUGUUGCUAAAUCCAUUGCUUUCCACAAGUUAGAAGUCCAAUAAACAACUUCUGCCAUGCUCCA